ensembl:snRNA U4 U4 spliceosomal RNA
AGCUUUGCACAGUGGUAGUAUCAUAGUUAAUGAUGUUUAUCUGAGGUGUAAUUAUUGCUAAUUGAAAACUUUUCCCAGUGGCAACAGGUGUGAAUUAAAUGGUCAAAUGCA